CAGCUCGAGGGGGAUCACCACGAAAAGGAUUCCGUCGCACACGUGGUGGUGUAGCUGCACGCACAAUCACGGUUCCUUUUCAAUAUUAAAUGCGUAUAUUAUAUUAUAUGGAUGCGGUAUUCGAAGUGUUUUGCUUUAUCCACAUCAAUAUUGGAAAUUCUCGAGUUCCGAUUUUUUAUUUUUUUUAUUUUUUUUCGUGUGCUGGAUUUGUGAUUGAUUAUUUUUUUUUUUUCGGGCCAUAAAAACUUGGGAUGUUGAAAAAUGGAUGUAAAUGUGAUGGACUGUAAUCCAGUUUUUUCGUUUGGCAUUUCGAUUGCGACAAAAGAAUGCUUCAAUUUGCAAUGCAGAAUCACAAACAUCGAUUAGAUAUAGCACUGUUCUUUUGGUUCAGCCCUUAAUUCACACAGGCAUUUAAACAAACACCUAAAAGGCACUCCAAAAACUUAAGACUGAUAACUUGAUAUUACAGCACUACCUAAUUUUGAAAAUCAAGCCCUAAGCUUUGAAAGAAAUUCCGCCAUUAAUUCCAGUCUAAAUGUGCAACUUGCUUUCUUAUACCAUGAUCCAAAAAAAAAUUCAUAAGCUGGUAAAAUAAUUAAAAGUUAAACAUACCUUCCCAGCAACGAAAUCCACCUCGCAUUUCUCAUCGUCCUGCAAAAUUCUUGGAGGAAUUCGGGUCAGGUAGUAGCCGUUUCUUCUCACAUUGCAUUUUAACCACAAAUUGCAAAUAUUUCGUGAAUUUUCUAUUACCUUUUUCUCCUGGAGUUGAGGAAGAAUUUU
rnacentral:lncRNA from 1 species